rnacentral:rRNA from 1 species
ACACGUAGGCAACCUGCCCGUAAGCUCGGGAUAACAUGGGGAAACUCAUGCUAAUACCGGAUAGGGUCUUCUCUCGCAUGAGAGGAGACGGAAAGGUGGCGCAAGCUACCACUUACGGAUGGGCCUGCGGCGCAUUAGCUAGUUGGUGGGGUAACGGCCUACCAAGGCGACGAUGCGUAGCCGACCUGAGAGGGUGACCGGCCACACUGGGACUGAGACACGGCCCAGACUCCUACGGGAG